AACGAAGUGAAUUGAAAUAUCUUAGUAACUUCAGGAAAAGAAAUCAAACGAGAUUCUAUGAUUAGUGAGAAUGAAAGUAGAAGAGCCUAAUUGUUUACCGGUAUAUUAUAAAUAAAUUAUAAUAUAAUGCGAUGUAACAAGAAAAAAAGUAAAACGGGCAAAACCUGUUUGAACAAAGGGGAACCUUCCUCUAAGGCUAAAUAUAAUAUAUAAGCGAUAGCGUAUAGUACAGUGAUGGAAUGGUUUGAAGUAGUAGUCUUAUAAGCAGCUCGAGUAAAAUUUAAAUAAAAAGUAAGAGCGUACCUUUUGCAUAAUGGGUCAGCGAGUUAAUAUUAGAUGCGAGCAGUAAUGCCCAGAUAAACCAAUUAUGAAAUAAUGAAUUAGUAUCUAAAAUUAGACCCGAAGCCUGGUGAUAUUACUACAGUCAGGGUUAUAAAAGCCCGAACGGUUUAUCGUUGUAAAGAUAUCCGAAGAACUGUGGUAAGUUAGUGAAAGACAAUACUGACUAGGAUAGCUGGUUUUCUGCGAAACCUAUAUAAGUAGGUAAUUCAAGGUACAUCAUAGCAGGUACAGAACUGUGAUCUCAGGCAACUUCUAUCAUAUUAUCCUAUUGCUACACACAAUGUAGCUAUAGUAUAAUGGGUGAUUUUGCAUAUAUCGGGCAAUCGUGAAGAUUUUAUCGGUGAGUAUUCGCACUCGGAAGGGCAAUGAUGAAUAUUGAAUAAUCGGACAUAGUACGAUAAGGUUGUAUGUCUAAAGGGAAACAGCCCAGAACAAGAGUUAAGGUUCCAAAAUUAUUGUUAAGUGAAAUUAAGGAAGUUUCUAUCUAAUACGACUAGGAAAUAGGCUUAGAAGCGGUCCAUUUUUUGAAGAUCUCGUAACAGAGCACUGGUUUAAUAAAUUAAGUUUACGCUUAUUUAUAUUGAUAGUUGCACCGAAAAUUUAACGGAUCUAAACAAUAUACCGACACCUUGUCCAUAUUUAUUAAUAAUUUAUUAUUAUAUUUAAUGGGGUAGCAGAACGUUGGGUAAAUCUAGGACUUAUUCUUUUUAAGAAUGAAUAUAAGAUAACCCAAGUGAGAAUGCUGACAUGAGUAACGAAAAAGGGACUAACGUACCCCAAAGGUCUGACUAACUAUAUGUUUACAGACCGGUACGGGCAUACCUCGCCUAAAGCUUAUGGUUUUAAUAAAGUAACGGCCUCUAAGUUUACCAACCUAAAGGAUUAAAAAACGAUGAGCAAAAAAAAAAAUCUCUAUCGAGUAGUAACAACCUUCUUUUUUCGAGUUGCAAAACUGUCUUUUUUUCUAAAUAAAAAAAAAGUAAAGUGAAGAAGGUUCUGGAAAAACAUCGAUACAUCUAGUUGUCAACUUGUAAUAAACUAAAAAGAUGAAUAACAAGACAAUGGAUUUGACCGUACCUAAAUACUACCCCAAGUAAGCUAGUAGAGAAUACGAAGGCGUUUGAGUGAACAAUCAUUAAGGAACUCGGCAAACUAACUACCGUAACUUCGGGAUAAGGAGAGCCAUUCCUCCUAAUUAAUAUUAGGUUAAGAAUAGGAAGCAUGGAAUAGUGUUGUACGACUGUUUAAUUAAAACAAAGCACUCUGCAGUAAGAUAAUAAAUCAAAGUAUUGAGUGUGAUUUCUGCCCGAUGUCGGCUGGUUAACGGAUUUGCUAAGCUGACUAAUAUAAGCUUGGCUUCGAAGGAAACCCCGAUCAAUGGCGGCCUUACCUAUGAGGGUCCUAAGGUAGCGGAAUACCUUGGCCGUUAAAUGCGGUCUUGCAUGAAUGAUUUAACGAUACAACAGCUGUCUCAAUGAUUGGCUCAGUGAAAUUGGAAUAACUGUGCAGAUACAGUUUACCUCUAGUUAGACGAGAAGACCCUAUGCAGCUUUACUGUUGCUAGUUAUUGAAUAUGAUAUGGCGAAUUUUAGUUAUAAGGUAGUGUAAACACAAUUGAAACACCUUUAUUUAGUUUAUCAUAUUGGUAGAUUUUCUACGUGAAACUCUCAAACAUAUCUAGCUUUUGCUAGAGAUUUGAGAUAAUCAUUAACCUUCAAAGAAGGAACAAUUGCUAGGAGGCAGUUUAUGCGGGGCACAGAUCCCAUAAAAAGUACCUGGGUGUAUCCAAAGUUAAUUUUGUAAAAUUGUCAUAAUUAUUUGACAAUUAAAUAUACUAAUGAUGUAUAUUUUUUUAUUUUUAGUAUGUUAUUUGGUAUAGCUUAAGCUAUAACUAAUCCAGCUAUAUAUCUAUUGAGUUAGAACUAAUAUUUUUUUCCAAGUAAGAUUUUAACUAUAUGGAAAAUAGUUGUAAUUAAAACAUUAAGAAAAUAGGGCAAAUACUUUUAAUUUUCCAAUGUUUUUAGUUAUAUUAUUAGUUGGCUUAGUUUAUAAUAAUUAAGUUUGUGCGUAUUUUUUUUUUAUAUGAAAAUACUAAUAAUAUAAUUAUGUUUAUUACUUGUCAAGUUUAAUGGCUUAAUCUUGCUUUACUGUUUGACUUACACGUCUAUCAGUCGCGUAAGCGGGGCAUAUGAUCACAAGAUGCAGAAAGGAAAGGUCUUGGAUAAACAGGCUAAUUGCGCCAGGAAGUACAAAUUGAGUGCGCAGUUUGGCACCUCGAUGUCGGCUUAACUUAUCCACAUGAAUGCAGGAAUCAUGAAGGGUUCGACUGUUCGUCGAUUAAUAAGUUACACGAGCUGGGUUAAAUACGUCGUGAGACAGUAUGGUUUCUAUCUUCUAGAGGAAAUUAGAAUAAAAUAAGGAUAUCCCCCUCGUACGAAAGGAGCUGGGUAUAUUAACCUCUGGUUUACCUGUUGUUUAUGUGCCCAAUAUUAAAUAUAUGUAGUAAAGUCCUAUAGACUAUAAAAUGUCAGGAUCUGGGGUGUUACUUUCACUUAAGUAAUUCUAUAACAUAGGCACGGCAGGAACGCUAAGUUAGUUAAAAAUAAGUGCUGAAUGCAUCUAGGCACGAAAUUUACUUUAAGAUAUUCUUAAAUAUACGUAGUGGAAUACUACGAAAU
rnacentral:rRNA from 2 species